rnacentral:lncRNA from 1 species
UACGUCACGCUCGAAAACGAGCGUUUGAGACGCGGAAGUAAAAUUGUAUCACAAAAACGGCUCAAGAUGCCAUUUGUAGUGUAGAUUUAUUAAUAAAAACUAAAAAAUCUUGUAUUCAAAUUUUUUUCCUAUAUGAUUCUUCACUGCAGUAUCUAACUUCCAAUACGCACUUUAACGGACGAGCAGAGGUGGUGACAACAUCGAGUGCUUGAACUACAGACUUGCCAAGUACGUACUUGCAAGUCAUCGAGUCCGUAGUACGCGUUCUAGGAAUUGAGAAACGGCCAUGGAGAGAGAGAGUUGCGACACGCUAUGAUCUCGCCGACAGGGUGGUCACGUGGUUGUCACGUGGUUCAUGUAAGCCUCAAUAGGUCCAAACACGCCGCGCAGUCAAUGUUAUUCUAUGGGACGACAGCAGAGAUUUCAAUAUUGAACGGUAAAUAUUAAUGAAAAAAACACAUACAAGUAUUUGUCUGACUGUUAUGGCAUUAUUGCAUAUUUGUUAAUGUCAGUUUUACAUUUAGAGUGGUAGGGGGACAACUGAAAGCUAUCUAUAAGUAUUACUUAGAUACGUUUUUAAGUUUGAGGGAAAGCUUCACGUUCGUGUUAGCAUACUGGCUUAACCUUAACUUUUACCCUACAUCUGUAUUGAAAUCAAAGUAUUCAAGAUGUUUUACCAUGAUCAUUUUAAGAUAUGAGCCACACAAAGUAUCAAAUAUAUUAAAGAAUAACAACUCAUUACGCUUGGAUGAAUGAAAUAGUAUUUUUUUUUAUUAAACAAUUAGUGUGACACAAACAAGUGAGUGCGAUUUUGUGAACAGAUUCAACAAUGGACACAGCAGGGAACACUAUAUACUUAGGGCAAACCAUUAACAUAUAACAUUGCAAAUAUACUAUACUUUAUGCCAUUACAAUACUUAUAGUAGCCCUGAGCAAAUUCAAAAUUGGUUUAGAUCAAUGGUCAUACCAUGGUUGGCUGUGCAGCGUUUGGAUGCUCCAAUCGGUCCGAGAAGGGUUCCCACAUGUAUGGCUUCCCCAAGGACCAAGAGCGCAGGAAGAAAUGGAUGGCAAUGGCCAGCACGUCAAAACGUACAAGUGACAGGGGUCAGCAACAGUCAAAAACGAUGUAAUGUACACUUUGAACUAAUUCACUGCCACAAAAAGAGAAGGGAUGUUGAAGCUGAGGCCCGAUGCAGUACCAACAGUUUUCAAUCAUCGCCCUAAGCCGAAGAGGAGGAAACCCCCUUCUGUGAGGGCGCCUCCAGAACCAAGUGCAACGGACCACACAUAUUUCACCAAAUUAAACUUCGGUAUGAUCCAUACCGAAGUUUAAUAACAAUAUUCCCCAUUUCAUGUAAUUCAAGGAUAGACUACACUACCAAUGAGAUUGCAUAAUUCAUAUUUGUACAUUCAGUUUAAGAAACAACCAGAGGUCAGGGAUUCUCUGAGGAUUUGCACACAAUGUGGAUAAUCUACACAUUUCUACCCAAUUAACAAUUGCCGGUAGAUCCAUUUAUACAUUUUAUUGGUUUCUGAUUGUGGCAGAUGAUUUAAUUCACAUUACAGAAAUGUUUCGCUUUAAUUAAUUUUCUUACAUUGGAGAUGACAGUAGUUGCAAAUGCAAAAAUACAUAUAACAGCAACAUUACCUUGUAAUUAUUACAGAGAUUGAGGGAGAAAUUGAGGUGGAUUUCAAGAGCGAUGAAAAGGACAUGACAGGAGACCGAGAGCAAUCAAUUGGGCCACUUUGCCAGGGGCAGGUGAUUCAGGGGCAGGUGAUUCAGGGGCAGGUGAUCCAGGGGCAGGUGAUCCAGGGGCAGCUGCUCCAGGGACCAGACUGCCAGGGACUGAUGGGGCGACUAUGGAGGACCUAAUAAGGCAACUAGAAAAGGAAAAAUUAAUGAGAAGGAGAGCAGAGAGGGCUCUUGUAAAACAAAAAAUAAUAAAUUUGGCACCAAGAAAGAGAAACAAUUCAGUCAACAAGAAGUCAAAACGAAAAAGCCAUACAGGUUAAAUUCACCGCCCAUCAUAAUCAGCAUUGUUGAAGCGGCGGCAUCUGUAGGGCUUAAUGUGCUGAACAUCUACUAGCUAUCGCAUCAUAAAACCCGUCCUUAAAUCAACCUAAAUGAUCAUAGUAAUCCAACAUAAAUAACUAACUAAAUAAAAGUUAGAUUCACUACUGAACUUCGUAAUUGUUGGUGUAGAUACCUUCACAUGGCGAAGUCGAGCUCACAAACUAGCAGGCAAUCGGUCGUCUACCAAGACAAAUACAUAUAUAAUUAUGCCGUGCAUAUUCAAAUAAAUAUCAGUAUAUGCAUCAUAAAAGGACCUCUAAUACAAUAGACGGUUGACAAUUCAAAAGAGGUAGCUAUUUAAUCAAUUUACCCCUGGAGAUACCUUCACAGAUGGCGAAGUUGAGCUAACAAACUAGCACGCAAACGGUCGUCUACCAAGAUAAAUAUAUAUAUAAUUACGUUGUGCAUUUACAAAUAAAUAUCAGUAUAUGCAUCUUUACUGUCUAUAUUGCCUCUGAUACAAUAUAGACAGUUGCCAACUCAAAAGAGGUAGCUUUUUAAUCAAUUUACCUCAGAAGUUACUUGACGGCCAGCAAUGGAAAUGAAUGAUCUCCUACGCCGUAAAAUGGUUGUUUGGAACUAUUUGAAGCUCCAUACCCCGGAAGUAGGCGCUACAACGGAGUCCAAUGGAAGUGUCGCCACUCUGUUAUAUCUACCACUCUGACCCCUACCAUCAACAGAUAGUCAACUAUUUUCUCUGUGUUUCUCUGUUAAUAGCUUGUAGACACUAAAAUGUUUUCACUUUAAUUUGAUAGUCCUAAUACCUGUCUACUAAUGCUUAGUUGAAU